CUGUCUCCUGGUAAGAAGAGCGCUGACACGGCGCACCUUGACCUUGCAUAAUUUCAGUGAUGGAGACGGGAGACUCGGACAUGAACUAUGCAUCUCUGGUGGUGAAUUCAAAACAAGUUAACGCAGAGGCGCCCAGACGCUCCCCAACAAAAAUAAGAAGACAAAUCUGACUCCAAAGAAGAUCCUUUAUUAAGAACUACUUAAAACAUAUCAGUCCUUGAUUCAAAAAACUUCAACUCAAGUGACUGGCCAAUGGCUGAGCUGGGUGAAGGCUUCAUGGUGGCAGACCACCACCUACAAUGACAU